CCAUGAAGCUGAUUAAUCCUGUCUCUCCUGGUAUAUUUCCUGGUGCUGCAGAUAUCCCCUCACAAGCCAGAACCACCCAGACUUCCCACUCUCCCUUUUCUAUGCUUCCCAAUGGCUCUCGAUGCAGAGGACAAAGGAAGAACAUGAUGACUACUCAGCCUGCAAUUCUGCCAAAAGGCCACUGCUGGAGAAGUAAUUACCUUGGCUACAGCAGACAUGUCAACCUUUCUGCACCUCAAGAAAUAUCACCCAUUCUUCAGGAAGGAGGAAGGACUGAGUGCCUCCCACACCUUCCUCUGGAAGUAGGAAUAUCUUAGGAAAAGCCAGCCUCGCACUUGAACUGACUCAUUUGCUAAUUCAGGGCAGAUGUGUUCAUGAAUGAUUCUCCAGGGCAGUAUAGCCCAGAGAAAGGGCUCAGGCUUCUCACAGUUCUGCCCCCUCAGCUUUAAAGUGAGGAAUAACAAUGAUAUCCACACCUA
rnacentral:lncRNA from 1 species